rnacentral:rRNA from 1 species
GAAAGUAAACAAGGGCGCAUGGAGGAUGCCUAGGCUCUCGGAGGCGAAGAAGGACGUGAUAAGCUGCGAAAAGUUACGGUAAGGCGCAAAUAGCCCUAGACCCGUAAAUAUCCGAAUGGGGCAACCCGGCCAGCAAUGGCCAUACCGCCAAGCGGUAAGCCAACGCGGGGAACUGAAACAUCUAAGUACCCGCAGGAAAAGAAAAUAACAAUGAUUCCGCCAGUAGUGGCGAGCGAACGCGGAACAGCCCAAACCACCCGUGUUACGGCACGGGUGGGGUAGAAGGAUCCACGAUACGGCAAGAAAUAAGUUAGCGGAAUACGAUGGAAAUCGUAGCCAAAGACGGUGACAGCCCGGUACGCGAAAACCGACAGAAGCCCAGUGGACACCUGAGUAACCCAGGACACGAGAAAUCCGGGGCGAAUCAGCGGGGCCCAUCCCGUAAGGCUAAAUACUCCCGAGAGACCGAUAGCGAACCAGUACUGUGAAGGAAAGGUGAAAAGAACCUCGAACAGAGGAGUGAAAGAGACCCUGAAACCAUGCGCCUACAAGCGGUCGGAGCAUGUUAAAAUGUGACGGCGUGCCUUUUGCAUAAUGAACCUACGAGUUACUCUCGCUGGCAAGGUUAAGCGAUUCAGUCGCGCAGCCGAAGCGAAAGCAAGUCCGAACAAGGCGUACAGUCAGCGGGAGUAGACGCGAAACCAAGUGAUCUACCCUUGGUCAGGUUGAAGGUUGGGUAACACCAACUGGAGGACCGCACCGAUAAGCGUUGAAAAGCUUACGGAUGAACUGAGGGUAGGAGUGAAAGGCCAAUCAAACUUGGAGAUAGCUCGUACUCCCCGAAAUGCAUUUAGGUGCAGCCUCGAAGCAGAGUGAUAGAGGUAGAGCGACUGAUAAGAUGCGAGGGCUUCACCGCCUAUCAAGUCUUGACAAACUCCGAAUACUAUCACUUGGUCUUCGGGAGUGAGGGCAUGGGUGCUAAGGUCCAUGUCCGAAAGAGGAACAACUCAGACCACCGGCUAAGGUCCCGAAAUAAGGGCUAAGUUGAACAAACGAAGUAAAACUGCAAAGACAGCUAGGAUGUUGGCUUGGAAGCAGCCAUUCAUUUAAAGAGUGCGUAACAGCUCACUAGUCGAGGAGUUUUGCAUGGAUAAUAAUCGGGCAUAAGCCCUUUACCGAAGCUGUGGAUGUCGCAAGACAUGGUAGGGGAGCAUUCCGGCGGCGACGAAGGCCGUCCUCGAGGACGACUGGAGCUUCCGGAAAAGCAAAUGUAGGUAUAAGUAACGAUAAAGGGGGCGCGAAACCCCCUCGCCAUAAGACUAAGGAUUCCUGAUCAACGCUAAUCGGAUCAGGGUAAGUCGGGCCCUAAGGCGCAGCCGAACGGCGCAGCCGAUGGAAGAAACGGUAAAGAUUCCGUUACUGGAUAUAGGAGCGAUGUGGAGACGGAGAAGUGACACACCCGCCUGCCGACGGAAGCGCAGGUUAAAGGAAGUAGGUAAACGCCGGGCAGGCAAAUCCGCCCAGCGUGCCGAAGCUGAUAGUAUCGAGAGCCCCCGGGCAAUCGAAUAGCGGUGGUAACCAGGCUCCCAAGAAAAUCCGCUAAGCAUAUUCUAUAUCCACCCGUACCCCAAACGGACACACGUAGUCGGGUAGAAUAUACCAAGGCGCUCGAAAGACUCACGGUUAAGGAACUAGGCAAAUUGACCCUGUAACCUCGGGAAAAAGGGUCCCCAGUAAGAUGGGGCGCAGAGAAUAGGUCCAGGCAACUGUUUAACAAAAACACAGGGCUGUGCAAAAUUUGAAGAUGAAGUAUACAGCCUGACACCUGCCCGGUGCCGGAAGGUUAAGAGGAGAGCUAAUCGCAAGAGAAGGCUUGAAUUGAAGCCCCGGUAAACGGCGGCCGUAACUAUAACGGUCCUAAGGUAGCGAAAUUCCUUGUCGGGUAAGUUCCGACCUG